GGACUACACGGGUAUCUAAUCCUGUUUGCUCCCCACGCUUUCGCGCCUCAGCGUCAGUAACGGGCCAGUGUGUCGCCUUCGCCACUGGUGUUCUUCCGAAUAUCUACGAAUUUCACCUCUACACUCGGAGUUCCACACACCUCUCCCGUACUCAAGAUGACCAGUAUCGAAGGCAAUUCCGAGGUUGAGCCCCGGGCUUUCACCCCCGACUUAGUCAUCCGCCUACGCGCCCUUUACGCCCAGUAAUUCCGAGCAACGCUAGCCCCCUUCGUAUUACCGCGGCGGCUGGCAC
rnacentral:rRNA from 1 species